GACUCUUGGCAACGGAUAUCUCGGCUCUCGCAUCGAUGAAGAACGCAGCGAAAUGCGAUACUUGGUGUGAAUUACAGAAUCCCGCGAACCAUCGCAUGUGCUGUGGUCCACGAUCGCCGCGAUGGCGUCU
rnacentral:rRNA from 1 species